rnacentral:rRNA from 1 species
UNUGACUUGAGUGCAGAAGGGGAGAGUGGAAUUCCAUGUGUAGCGGUGAAAUGCGUAGAUAUAUGGAGGAACACCAGUGGCGAAAGCGGCUCUCUGGUCUGUCACUGACGCUGAGGCUCGAAAGCGUGGGUAGCGAACAGGAUUAGAUACCCUGGUAGUNCACGCCGUAAACGAUGAGUGCUAGGUGUUAGGCCCUUUCCGGGGCUUAGUGCCGGAGCUAACGCAAUAAGCACUCCGCCUGGGGAGUACGACCGCAAGGUUGAAACUCAAAGGAAUUGACGGGGGCCCGCACAAGCGGUGGAGCAUGUGGUUUAAUUCGAAGCAACGCGAAGAACCUUACCAGGUCUUGACAUCCCGAUGCUAUUCUUAGAGAUAGGAAGUUACUUCGGUACAUCGGAGACAGGUGGUGCAUGGUUGUCGUCAGCUCGUGUCGUGAGAUGUUGGGUUAAGUCCCGCAACGAGCGCAACCCUUAUUGUUAGUUGCCAUCAUUAAGUUGGGCACUCUAGCGAGACUGCCGGUAAUAAACCGGAGGAAGGUGGGGAUGACGUCAAAUCAUCAUGCCCCUUAUGACCUGGGCUACACACGUGCUACAAUGGUCGGUACAACGAGUUGCGAGCCGGUGACGGCAAGCUAAUCUCUGAAAGCCGAUCUCAGUUCGGAUUGGAGGCUGCAACUCGCCUCCAUGAAGUCGGAAUCGCUAGUAAUCGCGGAUCAGCACGCCGCGGUGAAUACGUUCCCGGGCCUUGUACACACC